AAGUUACAAAGUUAAGGUUCUGUACAUAGGGAAAAAUACUGAGCUACAAUUAAGUGCACGUGAUUUGGAGUCAGGAAACCUGGGUUUAAAUCUCAUCCUACUGUUCACUAGUUUGACCUUGUCAAAUUAUUUAAAUGUUGUCAGAUACAGUUCUUUCUUGAAAACAGGAUAAAAACAUAUAACUUUAAGAAGAUAAGAUUAGUAUUAAAUUGAAAUAAGACGAACAGUGCAGAUUUCUUUAUCUACUUACUGCAUACGGGAAACAUUUUAUGAAGAGACAUUCUAGGAAAAGCAAGAAUAAAUUCUCUGCUGCAAAAUGAAGUUGUAUAAAAGAACCAGUAAGGCAGAUCACAUGGACUUGAGUCACGAUAAGUGAUCCUUUUCUGUAGCGUGGCCAAAACAUUACACUCAGUGACCCAAGAGUAGUAUUUAAUUGGAGAAUGAAUAAAACUUUGAGAUAAAAUGAAAAAUUGAUUCUGUUACUCUUCUUCCUGGAAAGAAGAAAAGUCUGACACUAUUUGACCAACUUUGAUAAGGUUAUAUGUAAAUAAGUUUUCUAUCUUUGUAAGAUUUACAGGACUCACAGCUUUUUAAAAUUCAAACUCUACCCCAAACUCCUGCUUUCAAGCAUGUACAUUAGCUAUAAACACUUUUAAAUCCUGUUUCACUGUGGGACUCACUGAGUAACAGAAUGCCAAAAAAUGUAUAUUAACAGUAUAGAAUCAAGGGUUCUGAUCAGCAAUCUCAUUACACAUGAUUUUUCAAUCUUUUUAAGCUUUCAGAAGAAAAAAACAAAUAUUACAUACCCUGAAUCUGUGCUGUUACCACAGAGGAGAGCGUCUUUGGAUCCCUCCAAAUAAUAAACAUAUUCUGUUUAGGAAGAAUUUGAACAAUAUAGCGUUUAGUAUAAACUAGAAGAGAGAGCAAGUAAGUCAAGUGUAUCUGGGUGAUCUCAACCAAUGAAUACCAUUCAUUUAUUGUUCUUUCACAUACACGCUUCAAAUAUUUACUGAUAAAUUCUUAUGGGCCAGGCAAUAGAUAUGAUGGUAAACAAGGUAAGAUUGGCAAUUUUGCAAGGCUUUCUUUCUGUCUAGGUGUAGAAGUUCUGGAGAAGAAAGACACAACUAUUUAACAAAUACAUAGCAUCAUUUAUUACACAGUGAAAAACUAUGUUCAUGACCUCAAUUGUCUUCAACUCUAGUCACAAGCCAAAUUGGACAAAUUUCCCCAAAAGGUCAACAUUGAAGCUAAACACAGAAUGUGAUUCAGUUCUUGGCCUCUUCAGUUUGCAACCUGAAUCAUGGAGAGAAUCAAAUUCAUGAACUGAGCAUACUUUUUGCCUGUUUUCAAAAGUAAAGUGAUCCUGUUCUCUGUCAUUCCUGAGUAAGGCUCACUGCUACCACCUGGGGCAGAUCUAACCUCCAGUAGUAAAUGGAUAAAGAGCUACUGAAACUCUUCUAAUCGCCUUCAAAUAUCCCUCACUGAGAAACUUGUAACAAAUAUCCAUUCUUUUUAAUAAGGACACAAAUUUCUGUGUGGCUCAAGUAAAAGAAAAAUAUGAUCUUUGGGAGAUUUUUAGACUUCUAAUGGAAUUAAGACAUUGAAGACAGAUAUUCUUGGAUUUCAGUACUGCUUCUAUCCUUUCCUACCAACUGAAUUAUCUUUAUUUCCUCAAGCAUCAGCUGCUGCAUCUAUAAAAUGUGGUUAAGAAUAUGUACUUUACAGGGUUGCUGAAUAGAAUACAGAGUCUAAUGCAUGUAAAGUGGUAACAGUGAUGGACAAAUAUGGCACUAAUUGUUGGAAGACGGGAGCUAUCAUUAAUAAACUAUUGUACAUUUUCAGAGCAGACCAAUUGAUUUCACUCUGUUUCACUUCUAAAAUAACCAUAAAACAGUGAAGCUUCAUAGUUCAAGGUGAAAAUCUAAAUUAUAAUGUACAUAAAUAUCUUAUUUGAAAACAUUCUGUGCCUCAGGGAUGAAGGAUCUGAGAACACAAGAAUAGGAGAGGUGGCUAAGGUGUGUUAUCUGGUUUUGUUGUUGUUAUUGGUAUAUAUAAGUAAUAUAGAACAAUAAGAUUUUGAUAUAUUGGUACAUGCCAGUAAAAAUUCUGAAUUUUAAAUCCCAUUUACCCUGUCUUUCCCUCCCAUCUCUCUCUGAUCCUCUUCCUUAUUUCUAAAAAUAUUUUCUAAAAAUACGUUUUCUUGUUACCCUUGGUUGGUUUGCUUACUAAUACAUUUAUAUAAUACUUUCUAAACAAGGAGACACUGAAUUAAUAGAAUAAUUGAUUUUAAAAUCAUUUACUUUGAAUAGCUAAGGAGAAGAGAAACUAAAAUGUAAAGAGAAAUAAAAUUUGCAAAAUGGAUUCUGAAAGAUGAUGAAUCAUAACUCAUUAAUUCCACCAUUUGCAUGCACUGAGAAAUGAAAACAUAUCCACCCCAAAACUUAUACAUGAGUGUUCACAGUAACAUUAGUCUCAUAACUGAAAACAACCAAUUGGUUGGAAACAACCAACAUCUAUCAACUGUUGAAUGUAUAAGCAAAAUAUAAUACAGGGACACAACAUAAUAUUUUUCAACAACAAAAAGGUAGGAAAUGCUGAUAUAUACUACAAGAUGAUAAACUUUAAAUAUUAUGCUAGGUCAGUAAAGGAAGUAAAGCUAGAGAUUGUUCCAUUCCAUUUAUAGUAAAUGUGCCGACCAAGUAGAUUCAGGGAAUAAGUACCUUAGUGCUUGCCAGGGAAUGGGCGUUGGGAAAAAAGUGGUUCAUAAACUGUAACAGGCUCUGGACUUCUUUUGAGGGAGAAGAAAAUAUUUUGAAUUAGAUAAUGGUGAUUAUUGUGCAACUCUGUAAAUAUGACAAAAUAUUUUAAAAGGGGGAGCCCUUUGGAACAUGGAUUACUUUUUCAAUAAAUAUAUUUCAAAAAGACAA